AGACAAAUGAAUUAAGAAAAGAAAGAGGGUAACAGCGAAGGCCUUUGUAGGUGCAAGUUUUUUAAUUGCUUUCUCUGUGUGUUGUUCCCUUCCUAAAAUUGACGAUAAUAAAUAAUUAGUAUGUCAGUUAUUUGAGUUUGUUACAGAAUAAGUAAACUUCUUGCUUGAUUCUUUGCCCCUAAUUUAUUGAAAAUGAAAUCUGCCUCAAAAAAGACAAGGUAUAGAUCACUU
rnacentral:misc_RNA from 1 species